rnacentral:tRNA from 1 species
AAGGCCCUAGCUUAGUUAAAGUGUCUGAGUUGCAUUCAGUUGAUGCAGGGUAGUAUCCUGCGGGUCUUA